GAUGAACGCUGGCGGCGUGCCUAAUACAUGCAAGUCGAGCGAACAGACGAGGAGCUUGCUCCUCUGACGUUAGCGGCGGACGGGUGAGUAACACGUGGAUAACCUACCUAUAAGACUGGGAUAACUUCGGGAAACCGGAGCUAAUACCGGAUAAUAUAUUGAACCGCAUGGUUCAAUAGUGAAAGACGGUUUUGCUGUCACUUAUAGAUGGAUCCGCGCCGCAUUAGCUAGUUGGUAAGGUAACGGCUUACCAAGGCAACGAUGCGUAGCCGACCUGAGAGGGUGAUCGGCCAAACUGGAACGGAGACACGGUCCAGACGCCUACGGGAGGCAGCAGUAGGGAAUCUUCCGCAAUGGGCGAAAGCCUGACGGAGCAACGCCGCGUGAGUGAUGAAGGUCUUCGGAUCGUAAAACUCUGUUAUUAGGGAAGAACAAAUGUGUAAGUAACUAUGCACGUCUUGACGGUACCUAAUCAGAAAGCCACGGCUAACUACGUG
rnacentral:rRNA from 1 species